rnacentral:rRNA from 1 species
UACGUAGGGGGCGAGCGUUGUCCGGAUUUAUUGGGCGUAAAGAGCGUGUAGGCGGCCAGGUAGGUCCGUUGUGAAAACUCGAGGCUCAACCUCGAGACGUCGAUGGAAACCAUCUGGCUAGAGUCCGGAAGAGGAGAGUGGAAUUCCUGGUGUAGCGGUGAAAUGCGCAGACAUCAGGAAGAACACCUAUGGCGAAGGCAGCUCUCUGGGACGGUACUGACGCUGAGACGCGAAAGCGUGGGGAGCGAACAGG